rnacentral:rRNA from 1 species
AUUGAACGCUGGCGGCAUGCUUUACACAUGCAAGUCGAACGGCAGCGCGGGCUUCGGCCUGGCGGCGAGUGGCGAACGGGUGAGUAAUACAUCGGAACGUGCCCAGUAGUGGGGGAUAGCUCGGCGAAAGCCGGAUUAAUACCGCAUACGACCCGAGGGUGAAAGCGGGGGAUCUUCGGACCUCGCGCUAUUGGAGCGGCCGAUGGCAGAUUAGCUAGUUGGUGGGGUAAAGGCCUACCAAGGCGACGAUCUGUAGCUGGUCUGAGAGGACGACCAGCCACACUGGGACUGAGACACGGCCCAGACUCCUACGGGAGGCAGCAGUGGGGAAUUUUGGACAAUGGGCGAAAGCCUGAUCCAGCAAUGCCGCGUGUGUGAUGAAGGCCUUCGGGUUGUAAAGCACUUUUGGCGGGAACGAAAAGGACUGUGCCAAUACCACGGUUCGAUGACGGUACCCGCAGAAUAAGCACCGGCUAACUACGU